AGAGUUUGAUCCUGGCUCAGGACGAACGCUGGCGGCGUGCUUAACACAUGCAAGUCGAACGGAAAGGCCCUGCUUUUGUGGGGUGCUCGAGUGGCGAACGGGUGAGUAACACGUGAGUAACCUGCCCUUGACUUUGGGAUAACUUCAGGAAACUGGGGCUAAUACCGGAUAGGAGCUCCUGCUGCAUGGUGGGGGUUGGAAAGUUUCGGCGGUUGGGGAUGGACUCGCGGCUUAUCAGCUUGUUGGUGGGGUAGUGGCUUACCAAGGCUUUGACGGGUAGCCGGCCUGAGAGGGUGACCGGCCACAUUGGGACUGAGAUACGGCCCAGACUCCUACGGGAGGCAGCAGUGGGGAAUAUUGCACAAUGGGCGGAAGCCUGAUGCAGCAACGCCGCGUGCGGGAUGACGGCCUUCGGGUUGUAAACCGCUUUCGCCUGUGACGAAGCGUGAGUGACGGUAAUGGGUAAAGAAGCACCGGCUAACUACGUGCCAGCAGCCGCGGUGAUACGUAGGGUGCGAGCGUUGUCCGGAUUUAUUGGGCGUAAAGGGCUCGUAGGUGGUUGAUCGCGUCGGAAGUGUAAUCUUGGGGCUUAACCCUGAGCGUGCUUUCGAUACGGGUUGACUUGAGGAAGGUAGGGGAGAAUGGAAUUCCUGGUGGAGCGGUGGAAUGCGCAGAUAUCAGGAGGAACACCAGUGGCGAAGGCGGUUCUCUGGGCCUUUCCUGACGCUGAGGAGCGAAAGCGUGGGGAGCGAACAGGCUUAGAUACCCUGGUAGUACGCUGUAAACGGUGGGUACUAGGUGUGGGGUCCAUUCCACGGGUUCCGUGCCGUAGCUAACGCUUUAAGUACCCCGCCUGGGGAGUACGGCCGCAAGGCUAAAACUCAAAGGAAUUGACGGGGCCCCGCACAAGCGGCGGAGCAUGCGGAUUAAUUCGAUGCAACGCGUAGAACCUUACCUGGGUUUGACAUGGAUCGGGAGUGCUCAGAGAUGGGUGUGCCUCUUUUGGGGUCGGUUCACAGGGUGGUGCAUGGCUGUCGUCAGCUCGUGUCGUGAGAUGUUGGGUUAAGUCCCGCAACGAGCGCAACCCUUGUUCACUGUUGCCAGCACGUUAUGGUGGGGACUCAGUGGAGACCGCCGGGGUCAACUCGGAGGAAGGUGGGGAUGACGUCAAGUCAUCAUGCCCCUUAUGUCCAGGGCUUCACGCAUGCUACAAUGGCUGGUACAGAGAGUGGCGAGCCUGUGAGGGUGAGCGAAUCUCGGAAAGCCGGUCUCAGUUCGGAUUGGGGUCUGCAACUCGACCUCAUGAAGUCGGAGUCGCUAGUAAUCGCAGAUCAGCAACGCUGCGGUGAAUACGUUCCCGGGGCUUGUACACACCGCCCGUCAAGUCAUGAAAGUUGGUAACACCCGAAGCCGGUGGCCUAACCGUUGUGGGGGAGCCGUCGAAGGUGGGACUGGCGU
rnacentral:rRNA from 1 species